rnacentral:lncRNA from 1 species
CCUCUUACUCACCUGCACAGGAAAGUUCACACAGAAGCAAACUGUUUGGGAAAGGGAAUCAAAAGAGUAGUCAUGCAGUGGGAUAGUUUCUCAGAGGGGGUGGAGAACACAAGCAAAAAAUCCCGAUUUGGCCCUCCUUUCCUGAAAGCCUCUGUUUCUUUCUGCUGGCCUCUCCUUGCUAAUUGCAACUCUGCUCUUUUCUUUCCCCUUUGAUCACUCCCAGGUUUGGUCUUCCUCCUUCAAAUUGAGCCAGCUGCCCAGGAUUUGCCCUUGACUUUGCAAGGUCUUCUGGGAAGCGUAGUUCAGAACAAAAUGGAGACUAAUGGUUGUUGUGGGUUUUUUGGGCUCUUUGGCCGUGUUCUGAAGGUUGUUCUUCCUAACGUUUUUGCCAGUCUCUGUGGCCAGCAUCUUCAGAGGACAGCACUCUGUGCUCUGGUGUAGUUGGCUUGGGAGUGCAGUAUUUAUGGCUUUUGUCUUUUCUGUAGAUGGGUGAUUAGUGUGUCUUAGUUGUGGGUGUAUUGUUGUGCUAAAUUGAAGAGAUUAUCUGUCACUGUGAUUGAUGGGUGUCAUUAGCUGGUCUUUUGUGUGUAGUGAAAUGGAGACUCAGUGGUCCAAGGGAAAUCUUGGUAGAGGCAGACGGGUUAGGAUGUGCAAACAUUUCAGGUGUCAUUAGCUGGUCUUUUGUGUGUAGUGUGUAGUGAAAUGGCGACUCAGUGGUCCAAGGGAAAUCUUGGGAGAGGCAGAUGGGUUAGGAUGUGCAAACAUUUCAGACAAAAGCAACAGAAAAAAAAGAAAAGGGGGAAAACAUGUGGCACUUUAAAGACCAACUGUUACAUUUUAGUGUGAGCUUUUGUGGACUCGUCCACUUUGUCAGACACCUGGAAACAGAGUGAAACAUUGAAUGAAAUAUCAGUUCUAUAAGCAGAAGGUUCUGAAUAUUUAUUGGGUCUUGGUUGUGUGCUAUGUUUACAUGUGGUAACUUAUGGCCUAUGUUGUCAGAAACAGGGAUGCCAGAACCCUGAGUAACCCGGGAGUUUUUGGACUGCAAUUCCCAGAAGCCUUCAUCACCAUGAAUACAAAUACCCCCAUCUCUAUUUAUAACAGAAACAGCACUGAAGAUAACUGGAAGAUACAAGACUGAUUAUAGUUAAAAGGGAAAUAACUUUUGAAUACAGGAAAGAGCGAGAAGGAACACAAGUAAGCAUUCAGCGUCCAAACUAAGAGUCACUAUUUCUUUUUACAAAUACAGCAGGACCCCAUAUCCACGAGGGAUUGCUUCCAAGCCCUCUGUGGAUAAGGAAAACCAUGGAUAAUGGUGAACGCAUACAUAGCACGAUAAAAGAAAAAAUC